GCCUCUCAAAAUGGAUGCAGAUGGCGUCCUUUCCCAGUGCGGAGAGUCGAUAUCGUAGAAAAUGCCGUGUUGGCCGCUCUCACAUGCACAUUUUUGAAGGGGAUAUGUAAAAAUAUGAUCAAAAUAAAAAGAAGGGAAAUAUAGAAGAAACUAAAACAAAAUAUACUAUAACAGCAUAAUAGAAGAAGAAGAAGAAGAAAAAGAAAAACGAGACAGAGAAAACCAUGUCUAUAAUAACUUGAACAAAGUGCAAAUGUAAAAUAAUAUAAACAAAAUGUAUAUCAAACAUCGUAACAUUGUCAUACAAUAUUCAGAAGUAAUAUAGAAUAUGCAGCAUAACUUUGCUUUGUCAGAGUGGUAUCAUAUAAAUGUAUUAAUCAUUGUGUUACUCAUCAAUAUAGACUGAAUAAAUGUACCCAGACAGCACACGGAUGUCCAUUGGACGUCCAUUAUAUGUCCAUUUUUUUUUACAAAAGACGCCCAUAGGACGUACGUUUGUCACAACUUGGGACAUACGACGUCCGAUGUACGUCCAUCGAUGGACGGCCGAUGGACGUACAUCAGACGUCCUACAGGUCCGAUGUCCAAUAAGGACAUCCUUGUUACGUCCAAUUUAUGUCCACGGACGUAAAUCGGAUAUACGGACAUAAAUUGGACGUGAAACGUACAUCCAUUGGAUGCUCGGUGAUGUCUGGGUAGAUGUGGAUGAAUUACUUAGCAGGUUAUAAAUAGGCAGAACAUUGCAAAUUAUGAACCAAUAUUGUAGAUAGUACAAAUAUAAGAAUUGAUAAACUAAUAUAAGAUCAUGCAUCAUAAAUCAAUAGAAUAGUCCAGUACAAGAUAAAAUAAUUAAUAUUGUAAGUCAAAGAGAGAAGAAAAAUAAAAGAAAAAGAAAAAUAACAGGAUUGCAAUAAAUAACAUAAAUAACAGAAAUUAUAAAGAAAGAAAAAACUAUCAUACAGGUGAGUAAAUACAUAGUCUAU